GCGCACACACACACGUGUGUAGGACAACUGGGGUACUUCGCUGUGCGUACUCUACUGAAUUAGUAGCUUGUGUCCUAUGGCGGAUGCAGAGCCCAUGCUGGUCCCUGCCCCUGGGGGGGAGAAAAGGGCCUGCCCUGCCUUGGAGGAUGAGGUGGCCCACAGCACCAAGAGACCCAGAGUCCAGAAGGAUGAGAACAAAGGAGGACACUCUCACAAGCCAGCCCAGGAUGAGGCAGAAGAGCCAGAGGCGGAGGAGACAGAGCCACUGGAAGAGGAGGAUGGAGAAGGGGCCGGGUUAGGUUCUGGAGAGGCUUUUGCAGAGAUGAUGAAGCAUGGACUCACAGAGCUGGAUGUGGGGAUUCUGAAAUUUGUCAGUGAACACAAGGGCUUCUCUGGGAUCCUCAAGGAGAGGUACUCUGACUUUGUCGUACAUGAGGUCAACAAAGAAGGCAAGACGGUGCAGUUGGAUGAUCUCUCGGUUCCUGAGGAGGCUGAGGAAGCCAGUGUGGCAGAGCAGCCAGGGUCUGAGGUUUUCACAGAGGAGCAGAAACACGAACUUGAGCAGCUGCAGCUCUUCAAGAAAAAAGAGGGCAACGUGUCCAUAGAGAUGGCGGAUGACACCAAAGAGAAUCGGACCCUGGUCCACAAAGCUGUCAAGACCCUGUACCCUGGACUGGAGACCAAGACAGAGGAGCGGGAGGGAAAGAAGUUCAUCGUGGCCUACCACGCAGCCGGGCAGAAAGCACUCGCAGAGGUCAAAAUCGCUGCAGCCCCCAGGAAACACUCCUGGCCUAAGAGCCGUGGGGCCUUCUGCCACUUUGUCCUUUACAAAGAGAACAAGGACACCAUGGAGGCCAUCAACGUGCUGUCCAAGUUCCUCAGGAUGAGGCCUAAUGUGUUCUCUUACAUGGGGACCAAGGACAAGAGAGCCGUCACUGUGCAGGAGAUUGCAGUUCUUAAGGUCACAGCAGAAAGACUGUUUCACCUUAACAAGUGCCUCAAUAACUUCAAGCUGGGAAACUUCUGCUACAAGAAACACCCUCUGAAACUGGGGGAACUACGGGGAAAUCAUUUCACUGUGGUCAUCAGGAACAUCACCGGGACAGAUGACCAGGUCCAGCAGGCCAUGACCUCCCUCAGAGAGACAGGCUUUAUCAACUACUACGGCAUGCAGCGCUUUGGCACCACUGCCGUGCCCACACACCAGGUUGGCAAAGCCAUCCUGCAAGACAACUGGAAUGAAGUGAUAGAUCUGAUCCUGAAGCCUCGCCCUGGAGCGGAGAAAGGCUACCUAGUGAAGUGUCGUGAGGAGUGGGCCCAGUCCCAGGACCCAGAGGCAGCGCUUAAGAAGCUACCUGUGAAAUGCUGUGUGGAGGGACAGCUGCUCCGAGGCCUCUCUAUGUACGGCAAGAAGAACAUCAUCACUGCAUUUGCCAUGAUCCCUCGUAACAACCGGCUGAUGUACAUCCACAGCUACCAGAGUUUUAUGUGGAACACCAUGGUCAGCAGACGCAUUGAGGCCUUCGGGCUGAAGGCUGUGGAGGGAGACCUCGUGCUCAGAGGAGGCACUGCGUUCGUGCUGUCUGCAGCCGAGGCAGAGACCCACUCUAUUCAGGAAGUGGUGAUGCCCCUACCAGGGUUUGAUGUCAUCUACCCCACUCACCACGUGGGGAAGGGCUACAGGGAGAAGCUGAGUGCAGAUAACCUGGACAUUGACAACAUGAGACACAGGGUGAGGGACUACUCUCUGGCCGGGGCCUACCGACGCAUCCUCAUCAAACCCAGUGACGUCAGCUGGGAGGUGAUUAACUAUGAUGACCCUCGUAUCUCUCUGGUUCACACUGAUGUGGAGAAACUAGAAGACCAACCUCCUCCGGUCUUCAACAAAGAGGGGAAGUACAGGGCUUUGAGGAUGGAGUUCUCUCUGCCUCCCUCCACCUAUGCCACCAUGGCCAUCAGAGAGGUGCUCAAGAUGGACACCAGCAUCAAGAACCAGACCCAGCUCAACACCAUCUGGCUCAACUAACACAACACGGAACAACAUUUUACUGAGCUGUAUCCAGCGAUGUCGAACGUUGCAGAUAGAAAUUUCAUGAAUAGAGCUGCCACGAUUCCCCUAUUCGAUAUGACGAUCAUAUCUUGUCUAUGCGAUACAUUUCUAUCUGAACCUUCUGUAUUGUUACUUUCUCCUCAAUAGGCCCUUGAACUACAUAUAGGCCUAGACUACUGGGCUGUUUUUACAGGCUGCAGAGCAGUCCAUACUCUAUGUGCGAGUAUCUGUAUACUGUGGGAGUGUGUUUGGUACUCUGCCAAGCCAAAAGUCAUUCCUCAAGGUGUGUCAUAGUGAUGAUGGAAAUCAUCAGAGCCACCCACACAACCAAGAGCAACAUCUCUGUUGUUAUUUCCUUUUUUUAUCAGGAGGUUUUAAAGCGUUCCUGCACUGGUGGGGUUCAGAGAUAUGAUUUUGAAAUAAGUGAUGUGCUGCCUAAGCACUUACAGGUGACGUCUAGGAGUUUCUCAGUAACCCGUGGGGCUGGGAUGAUACAGGUGACGUCUAGGAGUUUCUCAGUAACCCAUGGGGCUGUUCUGAGGUAGGGCUGGGAUGAUACAGGUGACGUCUAGGAGUUUCUCAGUAACCCAUGGGGCUGGGAUGAUACAGGUGACGUCUAGGAGUUUCUCAGUAACCCAUGGGGCUGUUCUGAGGUAGGGCUGGGAUGAUACAGGUGACGUCUAGGAGUUUCUCAGUAACCCAUGGGGCUGUUCUGAGGUAGGGCUGGGAUGAUACAGGUGACGUCUAGGAGUUUCUCAGUAACCCAUGGGGCUGGGAUGAUACAGGUGACGUCUAGGAGUUUCUCAGUAACCCAUGGGGCUGUUCUGAGGUAGGGCUGGGAUGAUACAGGUGACGUCUAGGAGUUUCUCAGUAACCCAUGGGGCUGUUCUGAGGUAGGGCUGGGAUGAUACAGGUGACGUCUAGGAGUUUCUCAGUAACCCAUGGGGCUGUUCUGAGGUAGGGCUGGGAUGAUACAGGUGACGUCUAGGAGUUUCUCAGUAACCCAUGGGGCUGUUCUGAGGUAGGGCUGGGAUGAUACAGGUGACGUCUAGGAGUUUCUCAGUAACCCAUGGGGCUGUUCUGAGGUAGGGCUGGGAUGAUACAGGUGACGUCUAGGAGUUUCUCAGUAACCCAUGGGGCUGUUCUGAGGUAGGGCUGGGAUGAUACAGGUGACGUCUAGGAGUUUCUCAGUAACCCAUGGGGCUGUUCUGAGGUAGGGCUGGGAUGAUACAGGUGACGUCUAGGAGUUUCUCAGUAACCCAUGGGGCUGUUCUGAGGUAGGGCUGGGAUGAUACAGGUGACGUCUAGGAGUUUCUCAGUAACCCAUGGGGCUGUUCUGGGGUAAGGCUGGGAUGAUGAACCUAAAAUGAUCGAUACAGACACUUUUGCAUGCAGCAUUUUGCUGAUACCAUUCACUACCAUAACAGUAGCUAAUAUGGGUGAUGGCUACAACAAACUAGUAGUAAUACUAAACAGUGGUGCACGUUACUGUUCUAAUCGUAGUGUUCUAUGUUUUGCCUGAAUUGAUACGAUAACAAUCUAUCGCAAUAUCUAUUCUUUGGAACUCUGGUAGAAAGAUUUCCUCUUUAAGGGCCACCACCUCAACUCUGUCACCCACUUCCCCAAAGACAGAUUUAAAAAAAACUUGAACGCCCCUGCUACUUCCCACAGGACUACAAUGAACUGUCUCUGAUUGUACGGAAUUAUCAUUUGCUUUUUUAAACUAAAAUGUUUUGUUUUGUUUUUUGAAAUGAGCUCUUUUUUCUUUUACAGAGCGAGAAUUAAAAUGUUGAGAGAAGACUGUUGGAGAAGGUUUGUUUCAUCAGACAUUUGAGAUACAGCAUUCUGUUCCAACCUGUGCCACUUUCAGAAUAUCAUGAUGCCGAUAGUAACUAUUCAGCCCAAGAAGAUCGGUCCUAUGAAUUGCAGUUCCAUCGUCAAACAAUGGGAGCAUCUACUGUCAUAAAACUAAUGUUGCUUGACUAAAACACUUUUAUUCAAUAGACAUUGUCAUGUAUAGUAGUGUUGUGCUUUGGGGGCACUUAUUUCUGGUUGGUGGCAGUAAAGAUGCAUCUUGGCAAUGAUAGAUCAGUUUUGGGUUCUAGUCGGCACUGAGCCAAUGCCCCGGUUGCUGCUGGUCAUGGCAGGUGCUGUGGAGCUUACCGUCUGGCAGGGUGGCUCUUGCCAGCUGGCAGUAGUUAUUGUAGUGAUUGCCUGCUAUCAGUGCCAUGGCUCCAAUCUGUGUUUGACAGGAUCCAGUCACCAGCCAGUUACCCUGGUAUACUGAGAAGGAUCUCAUGCAGUUUUACUUAAUUUUCUGUUAUGUCAUGCUCUGAAAACAAUUCUCUCUAACGGAGCACUUCAGAUUUGUUUAUAUAUUUGAAUCUGUGGUCGUGUGAUUUUCUUCCAUAUCCCCCUAGCAGGACUGGUGUAACCUUGUGAGUGACCACCAUAUUUUCUUUUUUUACAUGGCCCAAGUAAGAUAUUAUACCAACUCAUACCACAAGGGGGAGAAGUUUUGACUUUUACUUUUUUUUUAAAUUAAAAACUCAACAUCUGCACGUCACACAUUAUUAUUCAAUUUCAUUAACAAAAUUCAAAAUGUGUAAAUGUCCACGUUCCUUGGUAUGAAAACCAAUCAAAACUGUCCUGUGGUCAGGUGACACAAACAUCUCUAAUAAAUACACAAAUGUGUUCCUCUAAAUCCAAUCUAAAGUUGUAUUGCUCGGCAGCGUGUAUUACAGGUACAGCUAUUUACAUUCCCUCAACUUUGCUUUAAUGUUGUGUUCCCGUCCUUCUGGCAUUGAAGUCCUUACAACUUUGCUUUAAUGUUGUGUUCCCGUCCUUCUGGCAUUGAAGUCCUUACAACUCUGCUUUAAUGUGUGUUCCAGUCCUUCUGGCAUUGAAGUCCUUACAACUUUGCUUUAAUGUUGUGUUCCCGUCCUUCUGGCAUUGAAGUCCUUACAACUCUGUUGAAAGAUAUCUGGAACUGCUUUGAUUUAUGAGCAGAUGACCUGCUACAAACUCCUGUGAUUCUCCAUACUUUAUUGUACAUUAUGUUAUUCUAUGCACACUGCAGUAUGGAUAAGUCUACUUCUAACCGGUGAGAUGAAAUGGGCUAUCUAUAAUUAUCUGUAUUGUCCCAAUUGAGAUAUGUGUAGUGCAGUCAGGGUAAAAACAACAAAACAAUAUAUUUUAAAAAAAAACACGACUGAAACUGACAAGCAGAGGUUAGCUAAGGUGUCAGCUAUCUUGGUCAACUGUAGAACAUCUACCACUGGUGGACAGUGUGAUGACUGGGAAAGUGAGGAACGGUAUGGCUCUGGUCAGGUGGGUCUGAAGGGACAGGGACAGAAUGUGGGGUGAGCUGUUGUAACUUUUCAAGGGAUAUGUUCUGUGUUGCACUGUGAUGUUAUGCCUUGCGUCGACUUCUGGUGUGUCUGCACUCUAACACAAGGCCAUUGUGUUCUGGAACUGUUGCUUGUAUAAAAUAACUUGCGUAAAUAAUGAUUGUGUUAUCACCUCCCACUAUAUAAGGGACAUGGAACCAUUUACUCUUGAGUUCUUCCCUGUGAAAUCAGAUCUCCCUCCCCUGCAGUUGCUUGAUUAAAGUUAUUAUACA